rnacentral:rRNA from 1 species
AAAGAAAAUAACAAUGAUUCCCCUAGUAACUGCGAGUGAAGAGGGACAAGCUCAAAUUUUAAAUCUGUGUUUUACAUAGAAUUGUAAUUUGAAGAAACGUUUUCUGUGCUUUGAACUAACCUAAAUCUUUUGGAAUGAGGUAUCAUGGAGGGUGACAAUCCCGUUCAUGGUUCUAUUCAAGAUACUUUAUGAUACGUUUUCUAAGAGUCGAGUUGUUUGGGAUUGCAGCUCAAAUCGGGAGGUAAAUUUCUCCUAAGGCUAAAUAUUGGCGAGAGACCGAUAGCGAACAAGUACCGUGAGGGAAAGAUGAAAAGAACUUUGAAAAGAGAGUUAAACAGUACGUGAAAUUGUUGAAAGGGAAACGAUUGAAGUCAGUCAUACCAACGGGAAAUCAACCUUUUGUGUAUGAAUUUUGGAGCUUUGAAGAGUUUAAAAACCUUUGGGUUUCAUUAUUUAUGCUUUUUUGGCGUACUUUCCCGUCCGGUAGGUUAACAUCGAUUUUGAACGUUAUAAAAUGAUUGGAGGAAUGUAGCUUCGAUCUCGUAUUGAAGUGUUAUAGCCUUUAGUAAAUGUAAUGAUCAAGAUCGAGGAUUGCAACGAAUACCCUUUUGGGCUAUCCGUCUGAUCUCUGAUACGUGACCUUAGUAUUGAAAGCGUGCUUAUGAUAUUGAGGUAUUACGGUCAAAAGGUUAGAACGGAUUACAUUCGUUAAGGAUGUUG